CCAAAUGAGCUUACUUUCCUUUUUAUACAACAGAUGUUGUUUGACCUAGGAGAAAGAAUAAUAUUAUAGAAAUGGAGAUCAGUCUGAGGGGAAAAAAUAAAGUCAUAUAAAAAUAAACCACAAAUAGCAGCUGCUUGAAUUGUAUUUCUAAUAUAUCAGUGUUGACAGCUCUCUCUGUCCCCCAGUUGAGCCAGGAAUCUUAUACAAGUAAAGAAGAGAUGAGGAGGGAUGCGAGCAGAGGCAACGGAGAGGCAGAGAUGAUACUGCUUUGUGUCGGCUCCAGAUGAAAGCGAUCUCCUCCUAAGCUUCUGUUUUCACACUUCUGAAUGGCAGCUUCCUCAUCUCAGCCUCCUGAUGCUCCUCCUCGGGGCUUGAAGCUGGGGACCAGCUUGAACCCUGAGUGUGUGUUCUGCAGCUCUCGAGUGUACAGCUGUGGCGUGGGCUGGAGUGGGUGUUUGUUAGCACAGGGGAAGCUCACUGGUAAUGGCCUUUUGUAUGUGCUGACCUCUGAACCAGAAACAAGAUUCAAACCUCAGAGGAGACCGGUGAUUAAUCAAGUUGGGGAUCAACUGUGACUCAACCUUUAGAUUCCCAGCUGAGGUUGUGUCCACGGCUGAUUAAAAGAGGGAAAUAUAUUUAGCUAUUUACAGCUGUAUCUCCCUCUGAAAGAGGACAAGGCACCAUGGAUAAACAUAUUUAUGUUUGUUA